rnacentral:rRNA from 1 species
UACGUAGGGGGCUAGCGUUGUCCGGAUUUAUUGGGCGUAAAGAGCGUGUAGGCGGCCAUGUAGGUCCGGUGUGAAAACUCGAGGCUUAACCUCGAGAUGUCAUCGGAAACCAUUUGGCUAGAGUCCGGAAGAGGAGAGUGGAAUUCCUGGUGUAGCGGUGAAAUGCGCAGAUAUCAGGAAGAACACCAAUGGCGAAAGCAGCUCUCUGGGACGGUACUGACGCUGAGGCGCGAAAGCUAGGGGAGCAAACGGG